rnacentral:rRNA from 1 species
AUUGAACGCUGGCGGCAGGCUUAACACAUGCAAGUCGAGCGAGCGGCGGACGGGUGAGUAAUGUAUCGGAACGUGCCCAGUAGCGGGGGAUAACUACGCGAAAGCGUAGCUAAUACCGCAUACCAUCAGAUGUGCCCAGAUGGGAUUAGCUAGUAGGUGGGGUAAUGGCUCACCUAGGCGACGAUCCCUAGCUGGUCUGAGAGGAUGACCAGCCACACUGGAACUGAGACACGGUCCAGACUCCUACGGGAGGCAGCAGUGGGGAAUAUUGCACAAUGGGCGCAAGCCUGAUGCAGCCAUGCCGCGUGUGUGAAGAAGGCCUUCGGGUUGUAAAGCACUUUCAGCGAGGAGGCGUUACUCGCAGAAGAAGCACCGGCUAACUCCGUGCCAGCCGCCGCGGUAAUUC